rnacentral:rRNA from 1 species
UACGAAGGGGGCUAGCGUUGCUCGGAAUCACUGGGCGUAAAGCGCACGUAGGCGGCUUCUUAAGUCAGGGGUGAAAUCCUGGAGCUCAACUCCAGAACUGCCUUUGAUACUGGGAGGCUCGAGUCCGGGAGAGGUGAGUGGAACUGCGAGUGUAGAGGUGGAAUUCGUAGAUAUUAGGAAGAACACCAGUGGCGAAGGCGGCUCACUGGUCCGGUACUGACGCUGAGGUGCGAAAGCGUGGGGAGCAAACAGGG